rnacentral:lncRNA from 10 species
GGUCGCUUCUCGCAGGCGGCGCGCUUGCUGGGUCACAGUGAGGCGGCUCCGCGCAGGCGCAGCCGGGCGGGCGAGGAGCGGGGAAGCUGACUCAGGGCUGCGGCCGGGGUCCUGCGGGGUAGGAGCGCGAGGCCGGCCUGAGGGAGGAGGCCUAGCGACCCAUCCGGCGCCUCCCGCCCCGGGCACCCGCCCGCGGCCGCGCAUCCUGCGGGCCCCAGGAGGCCUCCAUCUCAAAACAACGUGUUUUUAGGCACAUGACAGCCUUCUUGCAAUCAAGAAACUACGUGUGGCCAGGAUCUCAUCCACUAUCACAGUUUCAGCUUUCCCCAAACUGGAAUGUGUCUUUGCAGACGCCCAUCCUUAUUAAAGGGCAAAGACUUCUCAUACACCUAGGAUGGAUCUUAUAUUCUUGGCGGGACUGCAGAGAAGGUGCCGUGUCCUGAGUCCUCAUGUCAGGGCACAGGCUUCCAGCCAGUUCUACCUGGGUUAUGUUUAUCUCAAUUCCCUGGUGGUAUUGGUGUCUGCUGGGUUUUGCCAGAAUGAAGACACCGUGUUUUCAUUUGUCAGUUGAUUCGUAUUUUCCAGGAAGACAUUCUGAGAUUACAGCAUUGUCUUAGUCAAGGUGCUGCAGAAGGACAGAACUAAUAGGAUAUAUGUACAUAUGAAAGAAAGUUUAUGAAGAACUGGCUCACACCAUCACAAGGCAAAGUCCCAUGACAGGCCAUCUGCAAGCUGAGGAGCGAGGAAGCCAGCAGUGGCUCAGCCGGAGUCCAACAGCCUCAAACGGAAUCCAACAGUUCAGGCUUCAGUCUGUGGCCAAAUGCCCAGAGACCCCGGAAAGCUACUGGUGUUAGUCCCAGAGCCGGAAGGCCAAAGAACCUGGAGUGUGAUGUCCAAGGGCAGGAGGAAUGGACAGAAGCAUCCAGCAUGGGGUAAAGACGAAAGCCAGAAGACUCAGCAAGCUAGCUUACCUACUUUCUUCUGCCUGCCUUGUUCUAGCCGCGCUGGCAGCCGGUUGGAGGGUGCCCACCCCCACUGAGGGUGGAUCUUCCUCUCCUAGUCCACUGACUCAAAUUUCAGUCUCUCUGGGAGCACCAUCACACCAGAAACAAUACCAGCCAUCUAGCCACCCUUCAGUUCACCAUCACAACCAUUGUCUUAUUCAUGAAACUUCUGCAGACCCACCUUAACCUCCAUCGGUGACUUCUACCUGAAGCCCUCUGAUUGUUGCCCAGUGGUGCUUUUUAAAAUAAUUUCCAUAGUUUCUUCUACACCUUUAGUUGGCAUUCUACUGUAAAGGAGAGAUUUUAUUUUCUUACUCAUUUAUUUGUUAGUUUAUAGUCACCACCAUAUGGAUGCAGAGUUCUGUCUCAUUCACUGGGAAGUAUUCUAUUGCAGUCAUGAUUUAUUUUGAUGUUCACAUCCCAGAGUUGGUGAGUGAGCGCCCCUUCACGCUGGCUCCCGAGUGCUGACGUGUCCCCGUCCUUCUCUGCACUUUUCCUUACCUCCUGGCCUCAGAUAUUCCAGGGUCAUUUGUUCUCUCCCUGCUCCAACCCUGCAGUCAGCCAUCUCCCUAGGGACGUUGGUUCCUUUAUGGAAGGUGGCAUUUAGAAGCCAGGAUUUGGGCUGAGCACUGUGGCUCAUGCUUGUAAUCCCAGCACUUGGGGAGGCCGAAGUGGGCGGAUCGCUGGAGGCCAAGAGUCUGAGACCAGCCUGGCUAACAUGGUGAAACCCUUCCCCGUCUCUACUACAAAUAAAAAAUUAGCUGGGUGUGUUGGCACGUGCCUGUAAUCCCAGUUACUCAGGAGGCUGAAGCACCAGAAUCUCUUGAACCCAGGAGGCCGAGGUUGCAGUGAGCCAAGAUUGCACCACUGCACUACAGCUUGGGUGACAGCGCGAGACACCGUCUCAAAAAGGAUAAUAAUUUAAAAAACAGCAGGAUUUGGGUGAGCAGUGCGCUCAUUGCUUCUGGGCUCUCUCGGUGGACAUAGGCUAGGAAUGUAAGAUGUAUGUGCCUGUGUAUAUACACACGUCUGUAGCUAUGUCUAUGUUGCAUACAUGUGUUUUUCCAAAAACCAAAUCCAUAACCAUG